CCUGAAGCUAAACUACUUUUAGCUAAUUUAGCUAACCUAAUCUGACGUGUUUGAGAGCCGUUAACAUUAAUUCACGCGAGCUGACCUUCCCAGGCCUUGGAAGGCAGCCGAUGUUCCUCCACUGAUAAACAUUAUAUCUGAGAAGCCACGGGGUCAGGGCGAGUUGAAUCCCAUGUCAGGAUUGUCCCCAUGUUGACCUGCGCCUGACUGGCCUCCCAGCAAAAAGCCCCUGUGAAGGCAGAAGGCAGAGACGCUGAUCCGAAGGUGAAAAACAUCCUCCUCCUCUCCCCCAGCUGAACAUCUGUCUCGGCGGCGUUGGCUGCAGCACCGACUCUGACACCUCCAGAUGGAGAGCCCGCUGGGAGCGCUGAGGUAUUACCAACAGAGAUGGCAGGGAUCACACCUCUGGAAUGAAGUCCCACGCUUGUUUUUCCGCACCGUCCCCUUUUUUUUGUUGUUGAAUCUGUCACUUUUCACCACAUAUAUCGUCACCUCAACAGUCCUUGGCCUUGUGACUCAUCUGAAGCUUUUGGCUUGCAAAGGAAAUGCAUGACAACAAAACCUCUCAACCCUUUUCUAAUUUACAGUAAUGGGCCGUAUGGUAUUUCAACUGUAACGUCUAUUAGUGGAACUGUAUUAAUUUUUAAUAUAGUUGUGGGAGAACUGCAUACUCAUGCGGAUAUAUUUCACAUGAUUGCUGAUGUCCAUUUCCUGGAAACAUAGUUUUUCCUGAAUUCAUAUCAGUUUGCACAAACCAGAACUAAAUGACUGACUGGCUUAUAAUCUCUUCAGUCUAAAUUUUAAGUGCAAUACCUGAAAAAAUCUUAAGUAUGGGAGGCCGGGAGUUGACUUCUGCGAGCCACUCUGGUGUCUUGACAGAUUGACUCUGCAUUCAUUUGUGCCUGAACUCUGAGUGAACCUCAGCUUUAGGAAAAAGGGCACCAACAGGCCGGUGCUGCUGGGGCAGAAACUGUGUGCACAAACCUGACACCCAGUGCAAAUAUUGAAACUGCUGCCCCUUCACCAUGACACGAAACUAGGUGGUCAGGUCCGGCAAACGUUUAGCUUGAGCCCGAAUGAGUGCGAAAAGGUCAAAUAACCAACUAAGUUCCUGUGAUUUUUUUUUUUUUUU